GGGUUGUGAGGUUAAGCGACUAAGCGUACACGGUGGAUGCCCUGGCAGUCAGAGGCGAUGAAGGACGUGCUAAUCUGCGAAAAGCGACGGCGAGGUGAUAUGAACCUUUGACCCGUCGAUGUCCGAAUGGGGAAACCCAGUGUGUUUCGACACACUAUCGUUAACUGAAUACAUAGGUUAACGAGGCGAACCGGGGGAACUGAAACAUCUAAGUACCCCGAGGAAAAGAAAUCAACCGAGAUUCCCCCAGUAGCGGCGAGCGAACGGGGAGCAGCCCGGAGUCUGAAUCAGCUUGUGUGUUAGUGGAAGCGUCUGGAAAGUCGCACGGUACAGGGUGACAGUCCCGUACACGAAAAUGCACAGGUUGUGAACUCGAAGAGUAGGGCGGGACACGUGGUAUCCUGUCUGAAUAUGGGGGGACCAUCCUCCAAGGCUAAAUACUCCUGACUGACCGAUAGUGAACCAGUACCGUGAGGGAAAGGCGAAAAGAACCCCGGCGAGGGGAGUGAAAAAGAACCUGAAACCGUGUACGUACAAGCAGUGGGAGCACCUUCGUGGUGUGACUGCGUACCUUUUGUAUAAUGGGUCAGCGACUUAUAUUCUGUAGCAAGGUUAACCGUAUAGGGGAGCCGCAGGGAAACCGAGUCUUAACUGGGCGUUAAGUUGCAGGGUAUAGACCCGAAACCCGGUGAUCUAGCCAUGGGCAGGUUGAAGGUUGGGUAACACUAACUGGAGGACCGAACCGACUAAUGUUGAAAAAUUAGCGGAUGACCUGUGGCUGGGGGUGAAAGGCCAAUCAAACCGGGAGAUAGCUGGUUCUCCCCGAAAGCUAUUUAGGUAGCGCCUCGUGAACUCAUCUUCGGGGGUAGAGCACUGUUUCGGCUAGGGGGCCAUCCCGGCUUACCAACCCGAUGCAAACUACGAAUACCGAAGAAUGUUAUCACGGGAGACACACGGCGGGUGCUAACGUCCGUCGUGAAGAGGGAAACAACCCAGACCGCCAGCUAAGGUCCCAAAGUCAUGGUUAAGUGGGAAACGAUGUGGGAAGGCACAGACAGCCAGGAUGUUGGCUUAGAAGCAGCCAUCAUUUAAAGAAAGCGUAAUAGCUCACUGGUCGAGUCGGCCUGCGCGGAAGAUGUAACGGGGCUAAACCAUGCACCGAAGCUGCGGCAGCGACACUAUGUGUUGUUGGGUAGGGGAGCGUUCUGUAAGCCGUUGAAGGUGUGCUGUGAGGCAUGCUGGAGGUAUCAGAAGUGCGAAUGCUGACAUAAGUAACGAUAAAGCGGGUGAAAAGCCCGCUCGCCGGAAGACCAAGGGUUCCUGUCCAACGUUAAUCGGGGCAGGGUGAGUCGACCCCUAAGGCGAGGCCGAAAGGCGUAGUCGAUGGGAAACAGGUUAAUAUUCCUGUACUUGGUGUUACUGCGAAGGGGGGACGGAGAAGGCUAUGUCAGCCGGGCGACGGUUGUCCCGGUUUAAGCGUGUAGGUGUGUGUUCCAGGCAAAUCCGGUUCACUUUAACACUGAGGCGUGAUGACGAGGCACUACGGUGCUGAAGUGAUAAAUGCCCUGCUUCCAGGAAAAGCCUCUAAGCAUCAGGUAACACGAAAUCGUACCCCAAACCGACACAGGUGGUCAGGUAGAGAAUACCAAGGCGCUUGAGAGAACUCGGGUGAAGGAACUAGGCAAAAUGGUGCCGUAACUUCGGGAGAAGGCACGCUGAUAUGUAGGUGAAGUCCCUGCGGACGGAGCUGAAAUCAGUCGAAGAUACCAGCUGGCUGCAACUGUUUAUUAAAAACACAGCACUGUGCAAACACGAAAGUGGACGUAUACGGUGUGACGCCUGCCCGGUGCCGGAAGGUUAAUUGAUGGGGUUAGCGGCAACGCGAAGCUCUUGAUCGAAGCCCCGGUAAACGGCGGCCGUAACUAUAACGGUCCUAAGGUAGCGAAAUUCCUUGUCGGGUAAGUUCCGACCUGCACGAAUGGCGUAAUGAUGGCCAGGCUGUCUCCACCCGAGACUCAGUGAAAUUGAACUCGCUGUGAAGAUGCAGUGUACCCGCGGCAAGACGGAAAGACCCCGUGAACCUUUACUAUAGCUUGACACUGAACACUGGUCCUUGAUGUGUAGGAUAGGUGGGAGGCUUUGAAGCGUGGACGCCAGUCUGAGUGGAGCCGUCCUUGAAAUACCACCCUUUAAUGGCUGGUGUUCUAACGUGGACCCGUGAUCCGGGUUGCGGACAGUGUCUGGUGGGUAGUUUGACUGGGGCGGUCUCCUCCCAAAGAGUAACGGAGGAGCACGAAGGUUAGCUAAUCCUGGUCGGACAUCAGGAGGUUAGUGCAAUGGCAUAAGCUAGCUUGACUGCGAGAGUGACGGCUCGAGCAGGUGCGAAAGCAGGUCAUAGUGAUCCGGUGGUUCUGAAUGGAAGGGCCAUCGCUCAACGGAUAAAAGGUACUCCGGGGAUAACAGGCUGAUACCGCCCAAGAGUUCAUAUCGACGGCGGUGUUUGGCACCUCGAUGUCGGCUCAUCACAUCCUGGGGCUGAAGUAGGUCCCAAGGGUAUGGCUGUUCGCCAUUUAAAGUGGUACGCGAGCUGGGUUUAGAACGUCGUGAGACAGUUCGGUCCCUAUCUGCCGUGGGCGCUGGAGAAUUGAGGGGGGCUGCUCCUAGUACGAGAGGACCGGAGUGGACGCAUCACUGGUGUUCGGGUUGUCAUGCCAAUGGCACUGCCCGGUAGCUAAAUGCGGAAGAGAUAAGUGCUGAAAGCAUCUAAGCACGAAACUUGCCCCGAGAUGAGUUCUCCCUGAGACUUUAAGUCUCCUGAAGGAACGUUGAAGACGACGACGUUGAUAGGCCGGGUGUGUAAGCGCAGCGAUGCGUUGAGCUAACCGGUACUAAUGAACCGUGAGGCUUAACCUUACAACGCCGAAGCUGUU
rnacentral:rRNA from 1 species